rnacentral:rRNA from 1 species
AACGUAGGACACAAGCGUUAUCCGGAAUCACUGGGCGUAAAGGGCGCGUAGGCGGCCUGAUAAGUCGGGGGUGAAAUCCUGUGGCUUAACCACAGGGCUGCCUCCGAGACUGUCGGGCUCGAGCACAGUAGAGGCAGGUGGAAUUCCCGGUGUAGCGGUGGAAUGCGUAGAGAUCGGGAAGAACAUCGGUGGCGAAGGCGGCCUGCUGGGCUGUUGCUGACGCUGAGGCGCGACAGCGUGGGGAGCAAACAGG